GACGAACGCUUGCGGCGUGCCUAAGAAAUGCAAGUCGAGCGAAGUUUAGGGGUGCUUGCACUCCGAAGACUUAGCGGCGAACGGUCGCGUAACACGUAAGCAACCUGCCCUAAAGUUUGGGAUAGCCCACCGAAAGGUGGAUUAAUACCGGAUGUGUACAAUUUUUCGCAUGUUAAAUUGUUUAAAGCAGCAAUGCGCUUUAGGAUGGGCUUGCGGCCUAUCAGCUAGUUGGUGUGGUAACGGCUCACCAAGGCGACGACGGGUAGCUGGUCUGAGAGGAUGAUCAGCCGGAUUGGGACUGAGAUACGGCCCAGACUCCUACGGGGGGCAGCAAUUAGGAAUCUUGCGCAAUGGGCGAAAGCCUGACGCAGCGACGCCGCGUGACUGAUGAAAUCCUUCGGGAUGUAAAAGUCUUUUCUUGGUGAAGAAGGAUGUGACUGUAGCCAAGGAAUAAGCUCCGGCUAACUACGUG
rnacentral:rRNA from 1 species